rnacentral:misc_RNA from 1 species
GAUGAAGAACGCAGCGAAAUGCGAUACGUAAUGUGAAUUGCAGAAUUCAGUGAAUCAUCGAAUCUUUGAACGCAUAUUGCGCUCUUUGGUAUUCCGAAGAGCAUGCUUGUUUGAGUAUCAGUAAACACCUCAACCUCUUCUUGAUUUUUCAAAAGGAGGGUGGACUUGAGCUAUCCCAACAACCUUUACCGGUCGGCGGGGGGCUUGAAAUGCAGGUGCAGCUGGACUUUUAUCUGAGCUAAAAGCAUAUCUAUUUAGUCCUCGUCAAACAGGAUUAUUACUUUUGCUGCAGCUAACAUAAAGGAUAAUUGUCCUCUUUGCUGACUGAUGCAGGAUUUUACGACACUUUAUGUGUUGUUCAACUCGAUCUCAAAUCAAGUAAGACUACCCGCUGAACUUAAGCAUAUCAAUAAGCGGAGGA